rnacentral:misc_RNA from 1 species
AAGUCGUAACAAGGUUUCCGUAGGUGAACCUGCGGAAGGAUCAUUAUCGAAUAAAUCUGGCUUGUGCUGUCGCUGCCUCCCCCUGGGAGUGUGUGCACGCCUUGUCACCUUUAUAUUUCCACCUGUGCACACACUGUAGGCCUAGAUACCUCUCACCCUUCACGGGGUGGAUGCAGAGAUUGCUGUUGUCCUCGCAAGAGGCCGGCUUUCUUUGAAUUUCUAGGUCUAUGAUCUUUACAUACCCCAAAUGAAUGUUACAGAAUGUAAUCUUAUAUGGCCUCUGUGCCUAUAAAACAAAUACAACUUUCAGCAACGGAUCUCUUGGCUCUC